GGAGAGGUGGCUGAGCGGCUGAUAGCACUGGAUUGCUAAUCCAGUAGGUGGGUUUACCUGCCUCCCGGGUUCGAAUCCCGGCCUCUCCGCCA
rnacentral:tRNA from 3 species